CAAGGAGUAGAACUGAAGAGGUGGAGGAAAGCUAAGGAUUAUCCCGACAGGGGCGUGCAGACACUCAAACCCGGAUUUGCAUCUACGCCCUCUGUCCUGCUCUGUGUUCGUGAUCCUCCCCCACACCAGUACCCACGUGACCAAACUGCAUGCGUUGGGACUGUCACAGAUCUCGGCUUCCUAUAGGUCUUCCUGUACAAACCCCACCCCCUCCCUUGGGAAAGGGAAAAAAAAUGCUCCAAAUGUGUGUGGCAGCUUGGAACUUCACUUCCUCUGCCACCUGCUGGUUGUCACUGCACUCAACAAGCGGGUCCUGGCUCCGGAGAACUCGGUGCUCCAUCUGCCUGUGCAGCCUCCAGACCGGAAGCUUGCGUUUUUGCCGGGUUACGGCUGAAUACAGAAGAAAGUUCACUAUGCUUUCAUUUCUGUAGAGAAAAUGGGAUUGCCGCUUUACAUUUCCUUUCUGAGCUAGCUGGUUUUUUGGGGGGCAGCUGCAGUGUUGGCUACUAUUGUAAAUCAGUUCUUUCCUUGUGUCUCUGUAAAUAUGCAACUGUCAAUCUAUUACAGUUUGUGUUUAUGUUUAAUGAAGGCAUAAUUUGGUGAACAGAGCCAGGAAAUGAAUUUUAGCUCUUAAAAAAAAAAACAUUUGCUUUCGGACCUUCUAUAGUGGUAUCUUUCCUUGUAAAAUAGUGAUGAUCAUUUCUGCCUUGGCCCUCGAAGCAAUGUUGUGAGAAUGGAUGAUCUAUGAAAGGGCUUUAUAUCCCUUCGGGAGAGGUGCUAGAAAAAUAUAUAAGGCACUAUUAUAAGUGAUGUCUUUGUUGUUACUACUCAAAUCACCCAUGGAUUUCCCCAGAGACUGAGCUGGCUGUCUAAUAAAAGAUAGUGAAAUUGA